rnacentral:tRNA from 1 species
UGUUCCCGCCCGGGAUCGAACCGGGGACCUUGUGCGUGUGAAGCACACGUGAUAACCGCUACACCAUGGAAAC